GCUCUGGUAGCCUAGUGGUUAGAGCGUUCGCCUCGGAUGCGGGUGGUCGCGGGAUCGUACCUCAACCAAGUCA